rnacentral:rRNA from 1 species
ACACGACUACAUUAGAUACCCGGGUAGUCCUAGCCGUAAACGAUACUCGCUAGGUGUCGGCCACGGUGCGACCGUUGUCGGUGCCGUAGGGAAGCCGUGAAGCGAGCCACCUGGGAAGUACGGCCGCAAGGCUGAAACUUAAAGGAAUUGGCGGGGGAGCACAACAACGGGUGGAGCUUGCGGUUUAAUUGGAUUCAACGCCGGAAAUCUUACCGGGACCGACAGCAACAUGAAGGCCAAGCUGAAGACUUUUGCCGGAUUAGCUG